rfam:Brachypodium distachyon strain Bd21 chromosome 3, whole genome shotgun sequence.
CCGCAAGAGCCACUCAGGCUAGCCAAGGAGACUGCCUAUGAGACUACAACAAAGGCUCAUGCAUCAUGUUGCCAAGCCUUGAAGUAUGACACAGGCAAGUCAUCCUUGGCUAUCAGAGAUAAGCCCCUUGCU